rnacentral:rRNA from 1 species
UCAGGCCUAACACAUGCAAGUCGAACGGUAACAGGCCGCAAGGUGCUGACGAGUGGCGAACGGGUGAGUAAUGCAUCGGAACGUGCCCAGUCGUGGGGGAUAGCGCAGCGAAAGCUGCGCUAAUACCGCAUACGAUCUAUGGAUGAAAGCGGGGGACCGUAAGGCCUCGCGCGAUUGGAGCGGCCGAUGUCAGAUUAGGUGGUUGGUGGGGUAAAGGCUCACCAAGCCAACGAUCUGUAGCUGGUCUGAGAGGACGACCAGCCACACUGGGACUGAGACACGGCCCAGACUCCUACGGGAGGCAGCAGUGGGGAAUUUUGGACAAUGGGCGCAAGCCUGAUCCAGCAAUGCCGCGUGCAGGGAGAAGGCCUUCGGGUUGUAAACUGCUAUUGUACGGAACGAAAAGGUUCGGGUUAAUACC